GCCUGGGUGGCUCAGUCGGUUGAGCGUCCGACUUUGGCUCAGGUCAUGAUCUCACGGUUUGUGGGUUCAAGCCCCUCAUCGGGCU
rnacentral:tRNA from 1 species